rnacentral:rRNA from 1 species
UACGGGGGGGGGCAAGCGUUGUUCGGAAUUACUGGGCGUAAAGGGCUCGUAGGCGGCCAACUAAGUCGGAUGUGAAAUCCCCCAGCUUAACCUGGGAACUGCAUCCGAUACUGGAUGGCUUGAAUCCGGGAGAGGGAUGCAGAAUUCCAGGUGUAGCGGUGAAAAUGCGUAGAUAUCUGGAGGAAUACCGGUGGCGAAGGCGCAUCCUGGACCGGCAUUGACGCUGAGUGAGCGAAAAGCCCAGGGGGAGCAAAACGGGG